rnacentral:rRNA from 1 species
UUGGAGAAGUUUGAUCCUGGCUCAGGAUGAACGCUGGCGGCGUGCCUAAUACAUGCAAGUCGAGCGAACAGAUAAGGAGCUUGCUCCUUUGACGUUAGCGGCGGACGGGUGAGUAACACGUGGAUAACCUACCUAUAAGACUGGGAUAACUUCGGGAAACCGGAGCUAAUACCGGAUAACAUAUUGAACCGCAUGGUUCAAUAGUGAAAGGCGGCUUUGCUGUCACUUAUAGAUGGAUCCGCGCCGUAUUAGCUAGUUGGUAAGGUAACGGCUUACCAAGGCAACGAUACGUAGCCGACCUGAGAGGGUGAUCGGCCACACUGGAACUGAGACACGGUCCAGACUCCUACGGGAGGCAGCAGUAGGGAAUCUUCCGCAAUGGGCGAAAGCCUGACGGAGCAACGCCGCGUGAGUGAUGAAGGUCUUCGGAUCGUAAAACUCUGUUAUCAGGGAAGAACAAAUGUGUAAGUAACUGUGCACAUCUUGACGGUACCUGAUCAGAAAGCCACGGCUAACUACGUGCCAGCAGCCGAGGUAAUA